rnacentral:rRNA from 1 species
AGUGACGAUAGCCUAGGAGAUACACCUGUACCCAUGCCGAACACAGAAGUUAAGCCCUAGAANGGAGUUAAUUACACUAGAAAUCUUCUAUUUAUGAAAGGAAAUAUCAUGGAUAGUUU